AUUGAACGCUGGCGGCAGGCCUAACACAUGCAAGUCGAACGAGUCGCGGGCGGGUGAGUUAUGUAUGGGCCACUGCCUGAUGGAGGGGGAUCACUACUGGAAACGGUAACUAAUCCCGCAUACCAGAGGCUGGGCCCAGAUGGGAUUAGCGAGUAGGUGGGGUAAAGGCCUACCUAGGCGACGAACCCUAGCUGGUCUGAGAGGAUGACCAGCCACACUGGAACUGAGACACGGUCCAGACUCCUACGGGAGGCAGCAGUGGGGAAUAGUGCACAAUGGGCGCAAGCCUGAUGCAGCCAUGCCGCGUGUAUGAAGAAGGCCUUCGGGUUGUAAAGUACUUUCAGCGGGGAGGCGUUACCCGCAGAAGAAGCACCGGCUAACUCCGUGCCAGCAGCCGCGGUAAUAC
rnacentral:rRNA from 1 species